rnacentral:rRNA from 1 species
CCUACGGGUGGCAGCAGUGGGGAAUAUUGCACAAUGGGCGAAACCCUGAUGCAGCGACGCCGCGUGAGGGAAGAAGGAAUUCGGUAUGUAAACCUCUGUCAGCAGGGAAGAAAAUGACGGUACCUGAGUAAGAAGCCCCGGCUAACUACGGGCCAGCCGCCGCGGGAAUACGGAGGGGGCAAGCGUUAUCCGGGUUUACUGGGUGUAAAGGGAGCGUAGACGGCAGUGCAAGUCUGGUGUGAAAGGCGGGGGCUUAACCCCCGGACUGCUAUGGAAACUGUACGGCUGGAGUGCAGGAGAGGUAAGUGGAAUUCCGAGUGUAGCGGUGAAAUGCGUAGAUAUUAGGAGGAACACCAGUGGCGAAGGCGGCUUACUGGACUGUAACUGACGCUGAGGCUCGAAAGCGUGGGGAGCAAACAGGAUUAGAUACCCUGGUAGUC